UUUCAGGCGGCCUCCUGAGAAAUGUUUGCAAUUGUAAGGCGUCUCUCUCAUCCAGGUUUACCCAGAUUCGCAAACUAUGGCGACAAACAACCAUAGCAGAAGCAUGUCCGGAUUAUUUCACAUAUAUCACAAAAUCCUGCAAAGGGUCUGUCCCCAUUGGAUCACCUCCCAUCACGCCACACACGACGUGAAUGACUUCGUGCUUCUCCAUACCUGCAUUGAUCUCUGGGUCCAUUGCCAGUUAUAAACCUCCAAGGGCAAUAGCCAUGAGGUGAUGUACAGUCAAGCAUCACUUAAUAACCAGGAUACAUUCUGAGAAAUUUGUCGUUAGGCAAUUUUUUCAUUGCACGAACCUCACAGAGUGUACUUACACUAACCUAGAUAGUAGCAUCCAGUAAACACCUGGGCUAUAUGGUCUAGCCUAUUGCUCCUAGGCUACAAACCUGUAUAGCAUGUUACUGUACUGAAUAUGUAGGCACUUGUAACACAAUGGUAAGUGUUUUUGUAUCUAAACAUAUCUAAACAUAGGAGAGGUAAUGCAUUGUGCUACAGCAUUACAAUGGCUAUGACAGACACUAGGCAAUAGGAAUUUUCCAGCUCCAUUAUAAUCUUAAGGGACCACCAUGGCACAUGCAGCCCAUUGUUGACCAAAAGUUGUUAUGUGGUGAAUGACUAUAAUUGGCUUUUCAGAGCAACCACUCACAAGGGGGUGUAGUAUAGCUUACUAGACAAAACUGCAGCCGCUGCUCUGUUUUUUGCUCUUAGAAAACUGAGUACCUGAUUUGGACAAAAUCAUAAUAAAAUUUAGAUAGAGCCAACAUUUGUCCUCUGGAAGUUUCUGACAAGAUACAAGUCACCGUUAUAAUAGUCAAAUGUCAAAGUGGUAUAUCUAACAAAAUUAAAACAGACAGCUAGGAGUGAGAAGAUUUAAGAAAAUUCAGGUGGCCCAAAGGAAAGCCAAGACAAGACAUUCUCUCCCGGCCUUUGGGCCUGGAUUUUCAUUUCAGCAGGUAACGAGGAGACCAAAGGCCUAGUUAUUUAUGGAGAUCUGGGGCCACAGCAGAGCUCCUCAUGGCAGGAUAAGGCAGUGGAAAGCAGACUCAACGGUUAACCCACAGUCCUCCUCAGCAAGCUGGGAGAAGCAACUGAUGCCACUUAGAUGCUUAGACCGGGCCUUCUGGGAGAGAUCUGGCCCAAGGAGCAGCCGGCAGCUUGACACAGUGACCAAUUGGAAGCACAGCAGCCACACGCCAUGAAACAAGAGAGCCAGCUGGUGGACCGCAGAGACAGACUUCCAGCCAGGGCCAAGCCCUUCAGGAAGGGAGUCAUGCACCAAACUCAGCUAACAGACCACCAGGGCACCACUGGGUCUCCUGCUGGGGAACAGCACACCUAUGGGUGGGCUCUAGGGGUGGGGUGGCCUGGUUGCUGGUUCUGCUCUGCCACUUCUUAGCUGGACUUGAGCAAUUUGUAACAUUUCUUGGCUCAGUUUCUCCACCUGCACAAUCAAAAUAUCACUACCUUCCUCCAAGAUUGCAUUAAGUGUGACAAUUUAUGUAAAGCACUUAGUCCAGUGCCUGGCACCUAGUAAGUACUGAAUAGUGAAAACAAUUUAAGUCUAACAAAUCCACACACCAUGACGUCAGACAAAUUAGGCAUCUUUCAUUGCUGUUGUGAAAAUUGCGCUAACUCUAAACUCUAACGUACAUCUGGCUCACUGUCUUUCUGUAAGACCAGUCAGAGCAGCAGCUCCUUCCUUGGUAAAAUACUUUAAAAAACUCCCAUUCCUGGCUGGGCACCGGGGCUCACGCCUGUAAUCCCAGUAGAUUGG
rnacentral:lncRNA from 1 species